GUAGGGAAUAUUGCACAAUGGGCGAAAGCCUGAUGCAGCAACGCCGCGUGCACGAUGAAGGCCUUCGGGUCGUAAAGUGCUUUUCGGGGAGAUGAGGAAGGACAGUAUCCCCGGAAUAAGGAUCGGCUAACUACGUGCCAGCAGCCGCGGUAAAACGUAGGAUCCGAGCGUUAUCCGAAUUUACUGGGCGUAAAGCGCGUGCAGGCGGUUCGAUAAGUUGGAUGUGAAAUCUCCCGGCUCAACUGGGAGGGGUCGUUCAAUACUGUCGGGCUAGAGGAUGGUAGAGGGAGGUGGAAUUCCCGGUGUAGUGGUGAAAUGCGUAGAUAUCGGGAGGAACACCAGUGGCGAAGGCGGCCUCCUGGGCCAUUCCUGACGCUCAGACGCGAAAGCUAGGGUAGCGAACGGGAUUAGAAACCCGUGUAGUCC
rnacentral:rRNA from 1 species